GAGUUAGCAAUGAUUAUAAAAAUAAUUCUUCAUUUUGACUUACUUAAUUUGGGCAUGACAAACUUCUUAUUAUAAUCAUAAAAUCUGAGUUAC
rnacentral:snoRNA from 1 species